rnacentral:rRNA from 1 species
AUUGAACGCUGGCGGCAGGCUUAACACAUGCAAGUCGAGCGAGCGGCGGACGGGUGAGUAAUGUCUGGGAAACUGCCUGAUGGAGGGGGAUAACUACUGGAAACGGUAGCUAAUACCGCAUACCAUCAGAUGUGCCCAGAUGGGAUUAGCUAGUAGGUGGGGUAAUGGCUCACCUAGGCGACGAUCCCUAGCUGGUCUGAGAGGAUGACGAGCGACACGGGAGCGGAGAAACGGUGCAGACUCGUACGGGAGGCAGCAGUGGGGAAUAUUGAACAACGGGCGCAGGCCUGAUGCAGCGAUGCCGCGUGUGGUAAGAAGGACUUCGGGUUGUAAAGCACUUUCGGCGUGGAGGCGUUACUCGCAGAAGAAGCACCGGCUAACUCCGUGCCAGCCGCCGCGGUAAUAC